GCAAUCAUACCAACACUAAUGCAUUGGAUCCCAUUAGAACUCCGAUGUUAAGCUUGCUUUGGCGAGGGCAGUACUAGGAUGGGUGACCCCCUUGGAAGUCCUCGUGUUGCACCU
rnacentral:rRNA from 1 species